UUAGGCCAGGCUGCAAUUCCCACGCCUCCCGCAACGUGCGUAGACUCCUUUCGCCCAGACGCCCAGUCCCACAGCCGCCGCAGCACUCGGCCUCCAUCCUCCUGCUCCACCAUGAGAGCCUCCUCCUCCGGUCCUCACCCCCUCCUCGACUGGGAUGUGCCUCCCUGCCCUAGCCUCCUUCUUUUUGGUUGGCGGUCGCUGCAUCUCCUCAUCGGGAGGAGUGACAGUAGCGGCAUGUAGAGGGGGGAGCUCGACAGGAGCGGGGAUGGUGCUCCACCGCCUAUACGCGCUCCAUAGCCGGCUCUUCCUCCUCCCAUUCCCUCGCGCCGCCGGUGCUGGAUCCGGCUUCUCUACCAUCCCCUCCGCGCAGUCAUCCGCACCCGCCGGCCAACUACCGGCGCAUCACCCUGGGAGUGGAUUCCCAUCACUAGAUUCUUGGAUAAAAUGUGGAGAUGCAAGAUACUGCACAACCGCAUGGACCAAACCUAUAGCUGAAUCGGCCUUGUUAAGUGGCAAUAUAUUGAGAUCUAGAACAUUGUGGAGCAACGAGUGACAAAAGUAUUAGGUGAGAUGUGGAACAUUGCGGGUAACUCUUUGUUGACUGGAUAUAUGAGAUGCAACGUGAGCUUCUUCGCCUGUCCACAUGAGUUCGUCCUAUGCUAGAAGGUGUGUGGGAUAUAGGAGAUACACGGAGAGAUAUUUCAGUUGUAAUCCAGCUUUAUUUCAUUGUCAAACAUGGUUCUACAAUCUCCUGUGUUGCUACAUCUUGAUCUCCUGCAUUGUUGUAACUCUGUUCUGCUACUCGAGGUUUGCUUCCUUUCUGACGUAAUCUCUAUCUGGUUUGUUUCUUGUCCCGUGUGAAAUCAUAUUAGGCCUCUAGGAUCUUGUGCUCCUAUUAUUCUUGUCUGUACUUUGUUAAUUUUAUCAGAAGAAGUGGGAGCAAAGCAUACACAUGCUUCCUUGGUGAGUUUAGAGUUUACCCUAUCCCUGGAAGUUGAAAUUGGCUCUCAUGCGAGCGACGGCCUUUUGUUAGCCAUGGAAUACGAAGGAAGCUACAAAAGAGUCAUAUUGCAUUUUCUUGAGAUAUCCGGCAAGGGAAUCUGAUUGUACCCAAACGUGAUAGAUCCCACUCUUCGGCAGCUUGAAUCUAAUGUUGUAGUGUCUGAAUAAGACUAGGAUCAUGUUUACGAUGCAUUUUCCAUCGAUACAGAGGUAUGAAUCCUAUGGUUGACAUUGGUAAAAACUCUCAGUGAGCGCCCUACCUCCUGAAUUAAUAGUGAGAAGCCGUAUAUUUUACUUUUAGGUGUAAACAAAUAGUAAAAGAUGAGGUUGCCAUCUCCUACUGAAUUAAUAGUGAGAAGCCUACCAGCUGGAUUUUAUUCUUGCAUGAUAUCAUGAUAUGAAGUAUUAUUCAUAUUUAGUAUUUAGGAUGUAUGCAUAUAUGUUACUGGUUAGCAUGAUACUAUUAGCGGAAGUUGUAGUGCACCUUAUGGUCGAUGGUGGCAUGCCACUCCAAACCACUCUGCUUUCCAAUGACGCCGACAACCACAACAGGGGUGGAUCCAGCCGCGAAGAGGCAGAGCGGCGGUCAACAGCGGUGGCCUGCUCCCAAUUUGCAGGUGAGAAGGUGACACGACGGUGGUUGGUUUGCACAAAUAUUGAUCAAUCCAAUCUGAGAAUAUUUUGUGAAGUAUCUUGAUUGGCAUAUCACAGGUUGCUAGAGCUGUUCAAGGUCAUUGUGGUGCAUGUUGGGCCUUUGGUGUUGUGGAGUUCCUGCAAGAUCGUUUCUGCAUUCCUCACAGCAUGGACCGUUAGUAAGAUUGCUCAUUGGCAAGCGAAAGUGGUUUGCGGAUUCUUGUACGACUAAGGAAGAAAUUUGUUAUUUGAAGUAUGCACUAGAGAUAUUGCAAGGUAUUUUUUGUUACUAGCUUCAUACCUUAUGGAACCUAUGUACAGACAAUGGUUCGUAACUGCAAUUAUUUUUGUCCUAAUGAUACAAGCAAAUUGAAGAGUUAGACUUAUGUAUGGAAAUUUAGAUAGUGGUUCCUUGGAAAGCAGUUUAAUUUCUUGCAUUGAUUCCUCAUGCUAUAAGCGACACCUUUCCUAUUUCGUUAAAGAAGUAAACUCAUGCUAUACACCACCAGUCAACCUUGCGUUCAAGCAGGCCACUAGGCCAGGCCAUUCAAGCAAACCUCGUUGCCACUACAGUUUAGUUCUUAGCUAUGCGUGUGACUAUUCCAAUCGACAGGACAAAAAACUAUGGGAGGAAUCAAAGAUAGGCAUCUGACCUCAGGUACACAUACCAAUUGAAAUAAGAGGUGAUAAUGUUAUAAUAUAGAUAUACUGGAUUUAUUAUUAACUUAACGACCAAACUGGAUGGUAAAAGCUUACUUCACUUGGAUAACAGGAGUCGGACACUGAAAGCUUGCUAUCUAAUUUUCUUCUCUGUGGAGGAAAAAAUAUACCGAUAAUUGGACAUUGAAAGUCCGCUAAAAUUAUAUUUAGAGCUGUAUAGUGUAUACCUUUAUAAUGUAGAUCCUUGAUCAUGUUACACCUUUCUUGUUCUUAUGGCGAAAGAAAUAGCAUAUUGACCAUUUCUAUAUUAUUUAUGUGCUUUUAUUUUAAUACGGUAGUGUCCAUGCUUAUGGAUUUCUAUAUUUUUGUUGUCAAUCUAGCAUGCUUGUGUCACCCCCGUCCUGUUUUAGCUCUAUUGAUGGAUGAUUUCUGCCAUUUCUUUUUAUUCCUAUUUCAUGUGUAAGCAUUUGAUAUAUCAUGAGGGUAUGUAUGAUUUAUUUGAUAUGGUCAAAGAAAUCUCUACUCCAACUUCCCCAUUGGAUGGCUAAUAUGGGAUAUUGGGUUGUGGUUGUUAUUCCUUCACAUGGUUUAGGCACUUCUGAGUUUGUUCCCUUUGAAAUGGUGUUUUUUGGAUAUAGGUAUUGCUAAUUGGUAAUACUUAUUGAAAUGGUGUUUGUUGGAUAUAGAUAUUGCUGAUUGGUAAUACUUAUACCUUACCUUUUUAGGUAAUUUGUUCUGUUGCAUCUGACUCUAGGUUGGUCUGUUCUUUCAGGAAGAAAAAGAAUAGGUCAAAUUAAUUGGUCACAACUAUGACUUUACGUCAUGACCAUAGCGCAUAAUUUCUCUUUAUUUCUGCUAUAAUGUGCGCCAAUUAGAAACUGCUAUAAAUGUGUUUUUCUUAAUAAUCUCACACUGGUGUGUUUUGCCUUCUCAAAAGAAAAUCAUGACAGGACCCCAUGCCCCCAUAUCCAUCCUUGAAGCCGGGUUGCGCGAGCUAUGCUUGCAGGGGAAAUUAACGCGCAAGUUUGCAGCAGCAAGGGUUUUUCUAUGUCUUGAUGGGAAGCUAAAUUAGUUUGCUUAGCGGGUCUCUGCGUCAUUUGGCGUAACGGAUUCACUCGAGGCCCAGCGGCGGACGGGAGAGGGUCACCGGCUAACACCGGCGAGCUGGUGGUUGGUGGCGGCUCGAUCCACUCAUGGAUCUUCUUCCACUUCCCCGAUGGCGAAGUUAGAUGCAACCUGGUGGUUGGUGGCGGCUCGAUCCACUCAUGGAACCUUCUUGUUUCACUUCUCCGUUGCCUAACACCGAGCACUGGUCAAGGAGCAUGGUAUCAACGACGGCAGCCGGAAAAAUGAUUUAAAAUCGGACUUUAUACCAAAAAAUAAGAAUGUGUGUGUGUGUGUGUGUCAUUGUACACAAUAACACACCAUUUUUUUGGCUAAAGGAUAUUUCAUUUAUUAUCAUACGUGCUUGCCUAGGCAAAGGCAUAUAUUUUGUCUUAAGUUAAAUGUAUAUAUUCAUAUCAUUGUACACAACAUCAACCGUGUUUCCUAUUACAGGGGAUUAAACCAUGAAAUUUUAUUUCA